rnacentral:rRNA from 1 species
GAUGAACGCUGGCGGCGUGCAUAACACAUUCAAGUCGAACGGAAUUACAGGAGAGCUUGCUCGAAUGUAAUUUAGUGGCGGACGGGUGAGUAACGCGUGAGCAACCUGCCCUCUGUGUGGGGGAUAACGACGGGAAACUGUCGCUAAUACCGCAUAAAGUGACCAAUACGCAUGUAUAAGGUUACCAAAGAUUUAUUGCACAGAGAUGGGCUCGCGUCUGAUUAGGUAGUUGGUGAGGCAACGGCUCACCAAGCCGACGAUCAGUAGCCGGACUGAGAGGUUGAACGGCCACAUUGGAACUGAGAAACGGUCCAGGACUCCUACGGGAGGCAGCAGU